CACGGGGCAACCUGGUGGCGAGUGGCGAACGGGUGAGUAAUAUAUCGGAACAUAUCCGGAAGUGGGGGAUAACGUAGCGAAAGUUACGCUGAUACCGCAUAUGCCCUGAGGGGGAAAGGGGGGGAUCGCAAGACCUCUCGCUUUCGGAGKGGCCGAUAUCGGAUUAGCUAGUUGGUGGGGUAAAGGCCCACCAAGGCGACRAUCCGUAGCUGGUCUGAGAGGACGACCAGCCACACUGGAACUGAGACACGGUCCAGACUCCUACGGGAGGCAGCAGUGGGGAAUUUUGGACAAUGGGCGAAAGCCUGAUCCAGCCAUACCGCGUGAGUGAAGAAGGCCUUCGGGUUGUAAAGCUCUUUCAGCCGGAAAGAAAUCUUGCCCAUUAAUACUGGGUAAGGAUGACGGUACCGGAAGAAGAAGCACCGGCUAACUACGUUUACGUG
rnacentral:rRNA from 1 species